UACGUAGGGUGCGAGCGUUGUCCGGAAUUACUGGGCGUAAAGAGCUCGUAGGUGGUUUGUCGCGUCGUCUGUGAAAUUCCGGGGCUUAACUUCGGGCGUGCAGGCGAUACGGGCAAUACUUGAGUGCUGUAGGGGAGACUGGAAUUCCUGGUGUAGCGGUGGAAUGCGCAGAUAUCAGGAGGAACACCGAUGGCGAAGGCAGGUCUCUGGGCAGUAACUGACGCUGAGGAGCGAAAGCAUGGGUAGCGAACAGGAUUAGAUACCCG
rnacentral:rRNA from 1 species